UACGUAGGGUCCGAGCGUUGUCCGGAAUUACUGGGCGUAAAGAGCUCGUAGGUGGUUUGUCACGUUGUUCGUGAAAACCCACAGCUCAACUGUGGGCGUGCGAGCGAUACGGGCAGACUAGAGUACUGCAGGGGAGACUGGAAUUCCUGGUGUAGCGGUGGAAUGCGCAGAUAUUGGGAGGAACACCAGUGGCGAAGGCGGCUACCUGGACCGGUUCUGACGCUGAUGCGCGAAAGCGUGGGUAGCAAACAGG
rnacentral:rRNA from 1 species